AUAUUGUGUUUGUACUGUAUUAGAACAAUACAGAGAGGAUUGGCAUGGCCCCUGUGCAAGGAUCACAUGCAAUUUCAUGAAACGUUCAUUUUUUUA
ensembl:snRNA U6 U6 spliceosomal RNA